rnacentral:ribozyme from 1 species
CUUUUUUUUUUUUUUUUUUUUUUUUUUUUUUUUUUUUUUUUUUUU